rnacentral:rRNA from 1 species
GAGUGAACGCUGGCGGUAGGCCUAACACAUGCAAGUCGAACGGCAGCACAGUAAGAGCUUGCUCUUACGGGUGGCGAGUGGCGGACGGGUGAGGAAUACAUCGGAAUCUACUUUUUCGUGGGGGAUAACGUAGGGAAACUUACGCUAAUACCGCAUACGACCUACGGGUGAAAGCAGGGGAUCUUCGGACCUUGCGCGAUUGAAUGAGCCGAUGUCGGAUUAGCUAGUUGGCGGGGUAAAGGCCCACCAAGGCGACGAUCCGUAGCUGGUCUGAGAGGAUGAUCAGCCACACUGGAACUGAGACACGGUCCAGACUCCUACGGGAGGCAGCAGUGGGGAAUAUUGGACAAGGGGCGCAAGCCUGAUCCAGCCAUACCGCGUGGGUGAAGAAGGCCUUCGGGUUGUAAAGCCCUUUUGUUGGGAAAGAAAAGCAGCAGGUUAAUACCCCGCUGUUCUGACGGUACCCAAAGAAUAAGCACCGGCUAACUUCGUG